rnacentral:rRNA from 1 species
ACGAACGCUGGCGGCAGGCUUAACACAUGCAAGUCGAACGGGUGUAGCAAUACAUCAGUGGCAGACGGGUGAGUAACACGUGGGAACCUUCCUCGUUGUACGGGACAACUCAGGGAAACUUGAGCUAAUACCGUAUACGUCCGAGAGGAGAAAGAUUUAUCGCAAUGAGACGGGCCCGCGUCGGAUUAGCUAGUUGGUGGGGUAACGGCCCACCAAGGCGACGAUCCGUAGCUGAUCUGAGAGGAUGAUCAGCCACACUGGGACUGAGACACGGCCCAGACUCCUACGGGAGGCAGCAGUGGGGAAUCUUGGACAAUGGGCGCAAGCCUGAUCCAGCCAUGCCGCGUGAGUGAAGAAGGCCUUAGGGUUGUAAAGCUCUUUUGCCAGGGACGAUAAUGACGGUACCUGGAGAAUAAGCCCCGGCAAACUUCGU